GGGGGGUCCCCGGGGAAACGGGGGGGUCCCCGAAACCGAGGGGGGGUCCCUGAAGCGAGGGGGGGUCCCUAAAGCAAGGGGGGCCCCCCCCAGGCUGACGCCGUCCCCCCCCCGCAGGUGGAGGUGGUGGAGGGGGUGCUGCAGUGCCCGGACUCGGGGCGCCAGUUCCCCAUCUCCAAGGGGAUCCCCAACAUGCUGCUGGGCGACGACGAGGGCUGAGCGGCGGCGGCGACACGCGUGUGCGGCGGUGACACGCGUGUGCGGCGGCGACACGCGUGUGCGGGGCAGUGGCGGGCGAGAACAGGCCGGCAGACACCUGUGCGGAGCGGCACACGCGUGUGCGGGGUGGCUGCACACACGGACGCCUACACAGGGCAGCCGCACGCGUGAACAGGUCAGCGGACACGUGUGUGGGUUGCCGCACGCGUGUGUGGGGCAGCGGUGUGUGCAAACGGGCAGUAAACAUGUAUGUGGGGUGCCACACGCGUGUGCAGUGCCCCCGCAUAGAAAAAGGGCGUUGAACACGUAUGUGGGAGGCCACACGCGUGUGCGGGAGGACCACGCAUGUAAAUGGGCCACUGAACACAUAUGUGGGGUGCCCCACGCGUGUGUGGGAUGGUCACAUGUGUAAACAGCCCGUCAAACACAUAUGUGGGAUGCCACACACGUGUGCGGGGUGGCCACACGCGUGAAUAGGCUGCCGAACACGUAUGUGCGAUGCCACAUGUACGUGUGGGGUGGCCACGAGCACAAAUGGGCCUUUGAACACGUAUGUGCGAUGCCACACGCGUGUGCAGCGUGACCGUGCAUGCAGACGGCGUCAAACACGUAUGUAGGCUUCCACAUGCAUGUACAGGACAGCUACACGCGUGAAUAGGCUGUUGAACACAUAUGUGGCAUGUCCCAUGCGUGCGCGUGGCAGUUGCGUGUGCAAAGGCACCAUUGAACACGUAUGUGGGAUGCCACAUGCGUGUGCACGGUGGCCAUAUGUGCAAACUGGCCACGGAACACGUAUGUAAGAUGCUACACGCGUGUGCGGGGCUGCUACACGCGUGUGGGGGGCUGCACACGCGUGUGGGGGGCUGCUCCACGUGUGAAGGGGCCAUCGAAUGCCGAUGUGGGACUGCACACGCGUGUGCGAGGCUGCCCCACGCAUGCGCGCAGCGUGUCGCACACGCGAACGGGCCGCGCGGCCCUGAAACACGCGUGUGCGUGGCCACACGCAUGUCCUUCCCCGCACGCGUCCCCCGCACGUGCGUGUCUGCCAACGC
rnacentral:lncRNA from 1 species